rnacentral:rRNA from 1 species
GGAUGAACGCUGGCGGCGCGCCUAACACAUGCAAGUCGAACGGCACCUGCCUUCGGGCAGAAGCGAGUGGCGAACGGCUGAGUAACACGUGGAGAACCUGCCCCCUCCCCCGGGAUAGCCGCCCGAAAGGACGGGUAAUACCGGAUACCCCGGGGUGCCGCAUGGCGCCCCGGCUAAAGCCCCGACGGGAGGGGAUGGCUCCGCGGCCCAUCAGGUAGACGGCGGGGUGACGGCCCACCGUGCCGACAACGGGUAGCCGGGUUGAGAGACCGACCGGCCAGAUUGGGACUGAGACACGGCCCAGACUCCUACGGGAGGCAGCAGUGGGGAAUCUUGCGCAAUGGGGGGAACCCUGACGCAGCGACGCCGCGUGCGGGACGGAGGCCUUCGGGUCGUAAACCGCUUUCAGCAGGGAAGAGUCAAGACUGUACCUGCAGAAGAAGCCCCGGCUAACUACGUGCCAGCAGCCGCGGUAAUACGUAGGGGGCGAGCGUUAUCCGGAUUCAUUGGGCGUAAAGCGCGCGUAGGCGGCCCGGCAGGCCGGGGGUCGAAGCGGGGGGCUCAACCCCCCGAAGCCCCCGGAACCUCCGCGGCUUGGGUCCGGUAGGGGAGGUUAGUGGAACACCCGGUGUAGCGGUGGAAUGCGCAGAUAUCGGGUGGAACACCGGUGGCGAAGGCGGCCCUCUGGGCCGAGACCGACGCUGAGGCGCGAAAGCUGGGGGAGCGAACAGGAUUAGAUACCCUGGUAGUCCCAGCCGUAAACGAUGGACGCUAGGUGUGGGGGGACGAUCCCCCCGUGCCGCAGCCAACGCAUUAAGCGUCCCGCCUGGGGAGUACGGCCGCAAGGCUAAAACUCAAAGGAAUUGACGGGGGCCCGCACAAGCAGCGGAGCAUGUGGCUUAAUUCGAAGCAACGCGAAGAACCUUACCAGGGCUUGACAUAUGGGUGAAGCGGGGGAGACCCCGUGGCCGAGAGGAGCCCAUACAGGUGGUGCAUGGCUGUCGUCAGCUCGUGUCGUGAGAUGUUGGGUUAAGUCCCGCAACGAGCGCAACCCCCGCCGCGUGUUGCCAUCGGGUGAUGCCGGGAACCCACGCGGGACCGCCGCCGUCAAGGCGGAGGAGGGCGGGGACGACGUCAAGUCAUCAUGCCCCUUAUGCCCUGGGCUGCACACGUGCUACAAUGGCCGGUACAGAGGGAUGCCACCCCGCGAGGGGGAGCGGAUCCCGGAAAGCCGGCCCCAGUUCGGAUUGGGGGCUGCAACCCGCCCCCAUGAAGUCGGAGUUGCUAGUAAUCGCGGAUCAGCAUGCCGCG